rnacentral:rRNA from 1 species
CUGCCAAGUGAACGCACAGCGGAAGGUGCUCUGCACCUACUAGUGAGUGGCGAACGGGUGAGUAACACGUGGACAACCUGCCUCAAGGCUGGGGAUAACAUUUGGAAACAGAUGCUAAUACCGAAUAAAACUUAGUGUCGCAUGACACAAAGUUAAAAGGCGCUUCGGCGUCACCUAAAGAUGGAUCCGCGGUGCAUUAGUUAGUUGGUGGGGUAAAGGCCUACCAAGACAAUGAUGCAUAGCCGAGUUGAGAGACUGAUCGGCCACAUUGGGACUGAGACACGGCCCAAACUCCUACGGGAGGCUGCAGUAGGGAAUCUUCCACAAUGGGCGAAAGCCUGAUGGAGCAACGCCGCGUGUGUGAUGAAGGCUUUCGGGUCGUAAAGCACUGUUGUAUGGGAAGAACAGCUAGAAUAGGAAAUGAUUUUAGUUUGACGGUACCAUACCAGAAAGGGACGGCUAAAUACGUGCCAGCAGCCGCGGUAAUACGUAUGUCCCGAGCGUUAUCCGGAUUUAUUGGGCGUAAAGCGAGCGCAGACGGUUUAUUAAGUCUGAUGUGAAAGCCCGGAGCUCAACUCCGGAAUGGCAUUGGAAACUGGUUAACUUGAGUGCAGUAGAGGUAAGUGGAACUCCAUGUGUAGCGGUGGAAUGCGUAGAUAUAUGGAAGAACACCAGUGGCGAAGGCGGCUUACUGGACUGCAACUGACGUUGAGGCUCGAAAGUGUGGGUAGCAAACAGGAUUAGAUACCCUGGUAGUCCACACCGUAAACGAUGAACACUAGGUGUUAGGAGGUUUCCGCCUCUUAGUGCCGAAGCUAACGCAUUAAGUGUUCCGCCUGGGGAGUACGACCGCAAGGUUGAAACUCAAAGGAAUUGACGGGGACCCGCACAAGCGGUGGAGCAUGUGGUUUAAUUCGAAGCACGCGAAGAACCUUACCAGGUCUUGACAUCCUUUGAAUUUAGAUAGAAUUUCUUCGA